rnacentral:rRNA from 1 species
UACGUAGGGGCAAGCGUUGUCCGGAAUUAUUGGGCGUAAAGCGCGCGCAGGCGGUCUCUUAAGUCUGAUGUGAAAUCUUGCGGCUCAACCGCAAGCGGUCAUUGGAAACUGGGAGACUUGAGUACAGAAGAGGAGAGUGGAAUUCCAUGUGUAGCGGUGAAAUGCGUAGAUAUAUGGAGGAACACCAGUGGCGAAGGCAGCUUACUAAGCUACAACUGACACUGAAGCACGAAAGCGUGGGGAUCAAACAGG